GUCUUUGUAUGCUAAAUAGGUCAGCGCAGUCGGCUGUUAACUGAAAGGAUGGUGGUUCAAGUCCACCCAGGGAUG
rnacentral:tRNA from 1 species